UACGUAGGGUGCAAGCGUUAAUCGGAAUUACUGGGCGUAAAGCGUGCGCAGGCGGUCCGUUAAGACAGAUGUGAAAUCCCCGGGCUUAACCUGGGAACUGCAUUUGUGACUGGCGGACUCGAGUAUGGCAGAGGGGGGGUAGAAUUCCACGUGUAGCAGUGAAAUGCGUAGAGAUGUGGAGGAAUACCGAUGGCGAAGGCAGCCCCC
rnacentral:rRNA from 1 species